rnacentral:rRNA from 1 species
CCUACGGGAGGCUGCAGUGGGAAUAUUGGACAAUGGGGGGAACCCUGAUCCAGCCAUGCCGCGUGUGUGAAGAAGGCCCUCGGGUUGUGAAGCACUUUCAGUGAGGAAGAACGCCUGGUGGUUAAUACCCAUCAGGAAAGACAUCACUCACAGAAGAAGCAACGGCUAACUCCGUGCCAGCAGCCGCGGUAAUACGGAGGGUGCGAGCGUUAAUCGGAAUUACUGGGCGUAAAGCGCGCGUAGGUGGCUUGAUAAGCCGGUUGUGAAAGCCCCGGGCUCAACCUGGGAACGGCAUCCGGAACUGUCAAGCUAGAGUGCAGGAGAGGAAGGUAGAAUUCCCGGUGUAGCGGUGAAAUGCGUAGAGAUCGGGAGGAAUACCAGUGGCGAAGGCGGCCUUCUGGACUGACACUGACACUGAGGUGCGAAAGCGUGGGUAGCAAACAGGAUUAGAUACCCCGGUAGUC